GACAGAAGGUGCAAACGUUGUUCGGAAUUACUAAGCGUAAAGCGCGUGUAGGCGGCUUAACAAGUCGGGUGUGAAAGCCCUAGGCUCAACCCAGAAAGUGCACUCGAAACUGCUUCGCUCGAGUAUCGAAGAGGAAAGCGGAAUUCUCAGUGUAGAGGUGAAAUUCGUAGAUAUCGAGAGGAACACCGGUGGCAAAGGCGGCUUUCUGGACGAUUACUGACGCUGAGACGCGAAAGCGUGGGGAGCAAACAGG
rnacentral:rRNA from 1 species